rnacentral:rRNA from 1 species
AACAGGAUUAGAUACCCUGGUAGUCCACGCUGUAAACGAUGUCGAUUUGGAGGUUGUGCCCUUGAGGCGUGGCUUCCGGAGCUAACGCGUUAAAUCGACCGCCUGGGGAGUACGGCCGCAAGGUUAAAACUCAAAUGAAUUGACGGGGGCCCGCACAAGCGGUGGAGCAUGUGGUUUAAUUCGAUGCAACGCGAAGAACCUUACCUACUCUUGACAUCCAGAGAACUUUCCAGAGAUGGAUUGGUGCCUUCGGGAACUCUGAGACAGGUGCUGCAUGGCUGUCGUCAGCUCGUGUUGUGAAAUGUUGGGUUAAGUCCCGCAACGAGCGCAACCCUUAUCCUUUGUUGCCAGCGGUUCGGCCGGGAACUCAAAGGAGACUGCCAGUGAUAAACUGGAGGAAGGUGGGGAUGACGUCAAGUCAUCAUGGCCCUUACGAGUAGGGCUACACACGUGCUACAAUGGCGUAUACAAAGAGAAGCGACCUCGCGAGAGCAAGCGGACCUCAUAAAGUACGUCGUAGUCCGGAUUGGAGUCUGCAACUCGACUCCAUGAAGUCGGAAUCGCUAGUAAUCGUAGAUCAGAAUGCUACGGUGAAUACGUUCCCGGGCCUUGUACACACCGCCCGUCACACCAUGGGAGUGGGUUGCAAAAGAAGUAUGUAGCUUAACCUUCGGGAGGGCGCUUACCACUUUGUGAUUCAUGACUGGGGUGAAGUCGUAACAAGGUAGCC